UCUGGCCGCCGUCUUCAAUAUUUAGGUUACAGGCGCCGCGAAGAGUUAUGCUCUACUAGUCACUUAUUGGUAGAGCUCGCAUGGAAACACUCCCCUUAAAAGAAACACACGCGAUGCGGGCGUUGCUGGUCACCUAAUCCUGAGGAGCUCCAGGGGAAAAGAAGGGACAGGCCAAAAAGGCAAACAACGAGGACAAAUAAGGCUCCGAAUAAAAUCACAAACAGGAAAGUAAAUAUCACUAUCAAUAAUCAAGGGACAGGCCAAAAAGACAAACAACGAGGACAAAUAAGGCUCUCGGCUGCCUUUAUAAAUGAUUUUUAAUAAAUAACGAACUACUAUGUUAACUUUCAUAUCACUCAAUAUUAUUUAAUUUUAAGCACAAACAAAUUUAUCCUAGAACUUCCAUAUGCAUCUGCCUAAUUGGACAAUAUGGCUGCGACUAUACUGAUAUCUGCCGCCAUAUUACAUGGCCGCCAUAUUACAUGGCCGCCAUAUUACAUGGCCUCUCCCAAAAUUGGGUCAUUGGAUACAUGGGUGCCAUUUAAGGUAAUCUCAGAGCGAACCGGGAUUAAUCCUCAAAUGGCCAGAUCGCCCGCCAGAUUAAUCCCGCUGCUGCAACUAUCGCCCUAUCAACCUAACCUAUCGAUAAAGUCAGUCCCAUUAUCGACUCCAAUUGCAACAAUUACUUAAGUGUAAAUAUAACAAAAACAGAGCAAGCAUUUGAAAAUCUUUUGAAGGAAGCCGAUGAAUUUAGUGAUGUUAUUCAAAUCCGAUAUUUAGUAGAAAAACUUAAAAGAAAAAUCAAUGGAAUUGCAAUAGCAAAACGUAGUAAGAGAGGUAUAUUUAAUAUCGUAGGAUCAGUUUACAAAUAUCUAUUCGGAACCUUAGAUCAAGAUGAUAAAGAUGAGAUGGAACAGAAAAUCAAUAAAUUGGUAGACACUAGUGUUAAAAACACUGUUUUAAAUAUGAUUAUCGAUGUCAUAAAUAACGGAAUUGAAAUACUUAACAAAUUAAAAGAAAAAGGAGAAAGAGAUCAACAAGUCAGCGUUUUAAUAUUUAAUUUGCAACACUUUACGGAAUAUGUAGAAGAAAUCGAAUUAGGAAUGCAAAUGACAAGAUUGGGGCUACUUAAUCCAAAAUUAUUAAAAGACGAUUAUUUGAAAAAUAUGAAAUCUGAGAAAUUGUUGAAAAUUAAAACUUCCACUUGGCUCAAAACAGACACAAAUGAAAUUUUGAUUACUUCCCAUAUUCCUUCAGAGAUAGUCAAAUCUCCCAUUUUUGAAAUUAUUCCUUAUUCCAAUGAAAAUAAUAAUAUUUAACGGAAAAUAUACUUGAUAAAUAUUUUCUAUACGAAGAUAAAGUAUUUAAUAAAGAAACAGGAAAAAUUGUAAUGGAUGAAUGUAUAAAUGGAAUAAUGGCAUUGUUGAGUCAAAAUUGCAAUAAUAAAGAAAUUAAGUUGGAAGUAACCAUCACAUACAAAAUAUUAUAAUGUAUUUCAAACAAUAACUUUAAAAACUUUUGUAAUCGUUAUUAUAAGCAUUUUAUUGUAUUUAUGGUAUAAAUU